UACUUGAGGAAACGAUAAUGUUGCAUGGAAAAAACCACCUUCAUAUAAUGUAUCUUCUGGUCCAAUGAUCAUAACUUCCCAUUCAAAAAUGGAUUUAUCAUCGACUAAACCAACGCUAAAACCCUGUGGAGGAUUUUUUUGAAUUUCCUAUAUCUAUCAGUAUGUGUUCAAGAAUUAAGAUACUAUGUACAAUCAUGAAUAUUUGGAUAUGAAGAUUUCGUGCGCUUACCUUUAGUUGUUUUCGAAGAAGUUGUU